rnacentral:rRNA from 1 species
AGCAGCCGCGGUAAUUCCAGCUCCAAUAGCGUAUAUUAAAGUUGUUGCAGUUAAAAAGCUCGUAGUUGAACCUCGGGGUCUACCCAUUGGUCAGGCUUAAUUGUCUGCACUGGUGAGAUGGAUCUCUACCUUCUGAGGAACUUUCAUGCCAUUUAUUUGGUGUGAUGGGAAAUCAGGACUGUUACUUUGAAAAAAUUAGAGUGUUUAAAGCAGACUAUCGUCUGAAUACAUUAGCAUGGAAUAAUGAAAUAGGACGGACUGAUUCUAUUUCGUUGGUUUCUAGGAUCACCGUAAUGAUUAAUAGGGAUAGUUGGGGGCAUUAGUAUUCAAUUGUCAGAGGUGAAAUUCUUGGAUUUAUUGAAGACUA